UCGAACGGUAGCACAGAGAGCUUGCUCUCGGGUGACGAGUGGCGGACGGGUGAGUAAUGUCUGGGAAACUGCCUGAUGGAGGGGGAUAACUACUGGAAACGGUAGCUAAUACCGCAUAACGUCGCAAGACCAAAGAGGGGGACCUUCGGGCCUCUUGCCAUCAGAUGUGCCCAGAUGGGAUUAGCUAGUAGGUGGGGUAACGGCUCACCUAGGCGACGAUCCCUAGCUGGUCUGAGAGGAUGACCAGCCACACUGGAACUGAGACACGGUCCAGACUCCUACGGGAGGCAGCAGUGGGGAAUAUUGCACAAUGGGCGCAAGCCUGAUGCAGCCAUGCCGCGUGUAUGAAGAAGGCCUUCGGGUUGUAAAGUACUUUCAGCGGGGAGGAAGGUGUUGUGGUUAAUAACCGCAGCAAUUGACGUUACCCGCAGAAGAAGCACCGGCUAACUCCGUGCCAGCAGCCGCGGUAAUACGGAGGGUGCAAGCGUUAAUCGGAAUUACUGGGCGUAAAGCGCACGCAGGCGGUCUGUCAAGUCGGAUGUGAAAUCCCCGGGCUCAACCUGGGAACUGCAUUCGAAACUGGCAGGCUAGAGUCUUGUAGAGGGGGGUAGAAUUCCAGGUGUAGCGGUGAAAUGCGUAGAGAUCUGGAGGAAUACCGGUGG
rnacentral:rRNA from 2 species